rnacentral:rRNA from 1 species
CCAGGCUUGAACUGCGAGUGACAUCCUACGAAAGUAGGCUUCCGCAAGGACACUCGUAGAGGUGCUGCAUGGCUGUCGUCAGCUCGUGUCGUGAGAUGUUGGGUUAAGUCCCGCAACGAGCGCAACCCUUGUCUUCUGUUGCCAUCGGGUCAAGCCGGGCACUCUGAAGAGACUGCCGGUGACAAACCGGAGGAAGGUGGGGAUGACGUCAAGUCAGCAUGGCCUUUAUGUCUGGGGCCACACACGUGCUACAAUGGCCGGUACAAACCGUCGCGAGCCCGCGAGGGGGAGCUAAUCGGAGAAAGCCGGUCUCAGUUCGGAUUGUAGGCUGCAACUCGCCUGCAUGAAGUUGGAAUCGCUAGUAAUCGCGGAUCAGCACGCCGCGGUGAAUACGUUCCCGGGCCUUGUACACACCGCCCGUCACAUCACGAAAGCCGGCUGUACUAGAAGUCGCUGCGCUAACCCGCAAGGGGGGCAAGCGCCUAAGGUAUGGUCGGUGAUUGGGGUG